AGCUCUGUGAUGGGUGUGCCGUUUCCAGCGAACCCCGCCGGCAUGGGCGUGCAGACAGCUGCAAAGAAGGCUGCUGGGACCCAGAGCUGAGGAGGUGUGUGGGUAACAGUUUUAGUCUCAAGAGGAUCACCAGGCUUACCCGUGGGAGGACAGACCACAGGGUGACAGCUCACCGGGUUUACAGCAGCCCUCAGGCUCCCACAGAUGGAAGGCGAGGAUGUGGACAUUCGUAGGGGAGCAGAGACAGGCUGCGACGUUCACAGAAUCGGAGAAGCAAGACUCUCC